rnacentral:rRNA from 1 species
UACGAAGGGGGCUAGCGUUGCUCGGAAUACUGGGCGUAAAGGGCGCGUAGGCGGCACUGUUAGUCAGGCGUGAAAGUCCUGGGCUCAACCUGGGAACUGCGCUUGAUACGGCAGAGCUAGAGGAUGGAAGAGGGUCGCGGAAUUCCCAGUGUAGAGGUGAAAUUCGUAGAUAUUGGGAAGAACACCGGUGGCGAAGGCGGCGACCUGGUCCAUUACUGACGCUGAGGCGCGACAGCGUGGGGAGCAAACAGGAUUAGA